rnacentral:rRNA from 1 species
GACGAACGCGGCGGCGUGCCUAAUACAUGCAAGUCGAGCGAAGUUUUUCUGGUGCUUGCACUAGAAAAACUUAGCGGCGAACGGGUGAGUAACACGUAAAGAACCUGUCUCAUAGACUGGGACAACUAUUGGAAACGAUAGCUAAUACCGGAUAACAGUAUUUCUCGCAUGGGAGAUAUUUAAAAGUUGGUUAUGCUAACACUAUGAGAUGGCUUUGCGGUGCAUUAGCUAGUUGGUGGGGUAAAGGCCCACCAAGGCGACGAUGCAUAGCCGACCUGAGAGGAUGAUCGGCCACACUGGGACUGAGACACGGCCCAGACUCCUACGGGAGGCAGCAGUAGGGAAUCUUCCGCAAUGGGCGAAAGCCUGACGGAGCAACGCCGCGUGAGUGAAGAAGGAUUUCGGUUCGUAAAGCUCUGUUGUUAGGGAAGAAAGGAUAUGUAGUAACUAUACA